CUCCAACGAGCGCAAUGGGCGAAAGCCUGACGCAGCAACGCCGCGUGGGCGAUGAAGGCCUUCGGGUCGUAAAGCCCUGUUGUCGGGGACGAAGGGCGAAGGGUUAAUAGCCCCUAGCCUGACGGUACCCGACGAGGAAGCCCCGGCUAACUACGUGCCAGCAGCCGCGGUAAUACGUAGGGGGCGAGCGUUGUCCGGAAUCAUUGGGCGUAAAGAGCGUGUAGGCGGCCCGGUAAGUCCGCUGUGAAAACCCGGGGCUCAACCCCGGGCGUGCAGUGGAAACUGCCGGGCUAGAGGGCGGCAGAGGCGAGUGGAAUUCCCGGUGUAGCGGUGAAAUGCGCAGAUAUCGGGAGGAACACCGGUAGCGAAGGCGGCUCGCUGGGCC
rnacentral:rRNA from 1 species